UACGGAGGGAGCUAGCGUUGUUCGGAAUCACUGGGCGUAAAGCGCGCGUAGGCGACUUUGUAAGUUAGAGGUGAAAGCCCGGAGCUCAACUCCGGAACUGCCUUUAAAACUGCAUCGCUUGAAUCCAGGAGAGGUGAGUGGAAUUCCGAGUGUAGAGGUGAAAUUCGUAGAUAUUCGGAAGAACACCAGUGGCGAAGGCGGCUCACUGGACUGGUAUUGACGCUGAGGUGCGAAAGCGUGGGGAGCAAACAGG
rnacentral:rRNA from 1 species